UGCUCGACGUCGAGCUCUUUUGGGACUCCGC
rnacentral:sRNA from 1 species